AUUGAACGCUGGCGGCGUGCUUAACACAUGCAAGUCGAGCGGUAACAGGUGUAGCAAUACAUGCUGACGAGCGGCGAACGGGUGAGUAAUGCUUCGGAAUCUGCCCAGUAGUGGGGAAUAACCAGUCGAAAGAUUGGCUAAUACCGCAUACGACCUUUGGGUGAAAGCAGGGGAUCGCAAGACCUUGCGCUAUUGGAUGAGCCGAAGUCGGAUUAGCUAGUUGGUAGGGUAACGGCCUACCAAGGCGACGAUCCGUAGCUGGUCUGAGAGGAUGAUCCGCCACACUGGAACUGAGACACGGUCCAGACUCCUACGGGAGGCAGCAGUGGGGAAUUUUGGACAAUGGGCGCAAGCCUGAUCCAGCCAUGCCGCGUGAGUGAAGAAGGCCUCGGUUGUAAGACUCUUUCGGUCCGGGAACGGAAAGUACGCAU
rnacentral:rRNA from 1 species